rnacentral:rRNA from 1 species
ACGAACGUUGGCGGCGUGGAUUAGGCAUGCAAGUCGAACGAAUCCCAGGGGGGUAACUCUCUGGGGGAAGUGGCGAAAGGGGCAGUAAGGCGUGGGUAACCUACCCCGGGGACCGGGAUAGCCACCCUAACGGGUGGGUAAUACCGGGCGAUCUGGCGAGGGGGCAUCCUCUUGUCAGGAAACGAAUCUCGCCUCGGGAGGGGCUCACGUAGUAUUAGCUUGUUGGCGGGGUAACGGCCCACCAAGGCCAAGAUGCUUAGCGGGUGUGAGAGCACGACCCGCGCCACUUGGCACUGAGACACUGGCCAGACUCCUACGGGAGGCUGCAGUCGAGGAUCUUCGGCAAUGGGCGCAAGCCUGACCGAGCGACGCCGCGUGUGCGAUGAAGGCCUUCGGGUUGUAAAGCACUGUCGAGGGGGAGGAAAGCCCGCAAGGGUCUGACCUAUCCCUGGAGGAAGCACGGGCUAAGUUCAGUGCCAGCAGCCGCGGUAAGACGAACCGUGCGAACGUUGUUCGGAUUCACUGGGCUUAAAGGGCGCGUAGGCGGGCGGUCAAGUCGGGGGUGAAAUCUUUCAGCUUAACUGGAAACGUGCCUUCGAUACUGAUCGCCUCGAGGGAGGUAGGGGCAUGUGGAACUUCCGGUGGAGCGGUGAAAUGCGUAGAUAUCGGAAGGAACGCCGGUGGCGAAAGCGACGUGCUGGACCUCUUCUGACGCUGAGGCGCGAAAGCCAGGGGAGCAAACGGGAUUAGAUACCCCGGUAGUCCUGGCUGUAAACGUUGGGUGCUAGGUGUGGGCCGGCGAUCGACCCGGUCUGUGCCGAAGCUAACGCAUUAAGCACCCCGCCUGGGGAGUACGGCCGCAAGGCUAAAACUCAAAGGAAUUGACGGGGGCCCGCACAAGCGGUGGAGCAUGUGGUUCAAUUCGAAGCAACGCGCAGAACCUUACCAGCCCUUGACAUGUCCCGUAUGGAUUCCAGAGACGGAGUCCUUCAGUUCGGCUGGCGGGAACACAGGUGCUGCAUGGCUGUCGUCAGCUCGUGUCGUGAGAUGUUGGGUUAAGUCCCGCAACGAGCGCAACCCUCGCCCUUAGUUGCCAUCAUUUAGUUGGGCACUCUAAGGGGACUGCCGGUGAUAAGCCGGAGGAAGGUGGGGAUGACGUCAAGUCCUCAUGGCCCUUACGGGCUGGGCUACACACGUGCUACAAUGGCGGUGACAGAGGGAUGCGAGGGCGCGAGCCUUGGCAAAUCUCAAAAAGCCGUCUCAGUUCGGAUUGGGGUCUGCAACUCGACCCCAUGAAGUUGGAAUCGCUAGUAAUCGCAGAUCAGCACGCUGCGGUGAAUACGUUCCCGGGCCUUGUACACACCGCCCGUCACACCAUGGGAGUUGGCUUUACCUGAAGACGGUGCGCUAACCGCAAGGAGGCAGCCGGCCACGGUAGGGUCAGC